rnacentral:rRNA from 1 species
UUGUGAAAGCCCCGGGCUCAACCUGGGAACGGCAUCCGGAACUGUCAAGCUAGAGUGCAGGAGAGGAAGGUAGAAUUUCCCGGUGUAGCGGUGAAAUGCGUAGAGAUCGGGAGGAAUACCAGUGGCGAAGGCGGCCUUUCUGGACUGACACUGACACUGAGGUGCGAAAGCGUGGGUAGCAAACAGGAUUAGAUACCCUGGUAGUCCACGCCGUAAACGAUGUCGACCAGCCGUUGGGUGCCUAGCGCACUUUGUGGCGAAGUUAACGCGAUAAGUCGACCGCCUGGGGAGUACGGCCGCAAGGUUAAAACUCAAAUGAAUUGACGGGGGCCCGCACAAGCGGUGGAGCAUGUGGUUUAAUUCGAUGCAACGCGAAGAACCUUACCUACUCUUGACAUCCUGCGAAUUUGGUAGAGAUACCUUAGUGCCUUCGGGAACGCAGAGACAGGUGCUGCAUGGCUGUCGUCAGCUCGUGUUGUGAAAUGUUGGGUUAAGUCCCGUAACGAGCGCAACCCUUGUCCUUAUUUGCCAGCGCGUAAUGGCGGGAACUCUAAGGAGACUGCCGGUGACAAACCGGAGGAAGGUGGGGACGACGUCAAGUCAUCAUGGCCCUUACGAGUAGGGCUACACACGUGCUACAAUGGUCGGUACAAAGGGUUGCCAACUCGCGAGAGUGAGCCAAUCCCGAAAAGCCGAUCUCAGUCCGGAUCGGAGUCUGCAACUCGACUCCGUGAAGUCGGAAUCGCUAGUAAUCGUGGAUCAGAAUGCCACGGUGAAUACGUUCCCGGGCCUUGUACAC